AGAGUUGUCAAAUCGGGGUGUCCA
rnacentral:siRNA from 1 species